rnacentral:rRNA from 1 species
GACGAACGCUGGCGGCGUGCCUAAUACAUGCAAGUAGAACGCACAGUUUAUACCGUAGCCUGCUACACCAUAGACUGUGAGUUGCGAACGGGUGAGUAACGCGUAGGUAACCUGCCUGGUAGCGGGGGAUAACUAUUGGAAACGAUAGCUAAUACCGCAUAAUAUUGAUUAUUGCAUGAUAAUUGAUUGAAAGAUGCUAUUGCAUCACUACCAGAUGGACCUGCGUUGUAUUAGCUAGUAGGUGAGGUAACGGCUCACCUAGGCGACGAUACAUAGCCGACCUGCGAGGGUGAUCGGCCACACUGGGACUGAGACACGGCCCAGACUCCUACGGGAGGCAGCAGUAGGGAAUCUUCGGCAAUGGACGAAAGUCUGACCGAGCAACGCCGCGUGAGUGAAGAAGGUUUUCGGAUCGUAAAGCUCUGUUGUAAGAGAAGAACGGGUGUGAGAGUGGAAAGUUCACACUGUGACGGUAUCUUACCAGAAAGGGACGGCUAACUACGUG